AGGACGAACGCUGGCGGCGUGCUUAACACAUGCAAGUCGAGCGGUAAGGCCUUUCGGGGUACACGAGCGGCGAACGGGUGAGUAACACGUGGGUGAUCUGCCCUGCACUCUGGGAUGAGCCUGGGAAACUGGGUCUAAUACCGGAUAUGACCUGCUCUCGCAGUGGGGGGUGGGUGGAAAGAUUUUA
rnacentral:rRNA from 1 species